AGCGCAAGUGUCAAUCACAGCAACACCUGAAUAGAGACCUCUAGGAGGAAUUUCUCAGGCUACACAACCAGCACCUUUGGGCUUUAUAUCCCGCUGACAUAGGCAACCAUUGGCCUGAGCCCAAGGAUCCAAUGGAAGAGUUAGGGGAAGGACUGAAGAAGCCGAAGGAGUUUGCAACCUGAUAGAAAGAACAUUAUCAACUAAGCAAACCCACCAGAGCUCCUAGGGACUAAACCACCAACCAAAGAGUGUAUACAUGGAGGGACCCAUGGCUCCAGCUGCAUAUGUCGCAGAGGGUUGCCUUAUCUGGCAUCAGUGGGAGGGGAGGCCCUUGGUCCUGUAGGAGAUUGAUGCUUCAGUGUAAGAGGAUGCUAGAGAGAUGAGAUGGGAGUGGGUGAGUGUGUGGGGAACACUUUCUUAGAGGCAAAGGGGAGGGAGGGAGGAUUGGAUGAGGUUUUCACAGAGGGGAGACCAGGAAGGGAGAAAACAUUUGAAAUGUAAAUAAAUAAAAUAACUAGUAAAAAUUACUGCAUCUUUAUUUAUUGUUAGAUAGUAAAGAAAGUUUCCAUAUUUCUUAUGUCAUUAUUAUUAUUAUUAUCAUUAUUAUUAUUAUUAUUUCCAAGAUUUCUAUUUGUUUCUACUGAUCUAGUAUGUUUGUUUCUGUUCUGAUUUGAAUAUAAAAUAACCUGAACAGAUCAUUUAUUAGUGGGUUUUGUUCCCAGCUCUUGGCACUAUUGAUAUGCAAUUGAAAUAUGAAGUACUAGCCUCAUCGAUAGGUCAAGCAGUUCAUGGUUGAGUGGACUGUCUAGGCUGUCAGAAUGAAAGAAAAUUUUCUCAAUCAUACUGUGUCCAAUAAUGUCCUGACUUAUUUUGUAAUUGUGCCAUGGAAUGAAACCUCUGAAACUGUGAGCCACAACACAUUUCUCUUUCCUUCAGUAAUUCAUUCCCUCAAUUUUUCACAGGAGUAGAACAUGGAGGUAUAGUCUACCCAAUCUGUAUUGUCAUGUGUUAUGACCAUAUAUUAAUUUCUUAAAAUCAUGUGAUUUGCUCUCAAAUUUUUUCAAAAUUAUAACUAAUCUACUGUCCUUGUAUUUCUGAAAACUCUGGGAAUCAGUUUGUUACAUAUGUAUACUUCUUUCUUGGAUUUUUAUGGAAUUCAUGUUAAACUUGUGCCUUGAUCUGAAGUGAAACUGACUCUUCCUUUCUAUGAGUACUGUACACAUGUUUAUUUAUUAAGGGUCCAUGCUUACUUACGUUAUCAGUUCUUGAUGCUUAGUACAUGCUUUAUUUUUACUGCUUAUUAGAUUAAUAUGUAACUGUUUAAGUGUUAUAAAUAACAUUUCAUGCUGAAAUUGAGUUCCAGUUUUUCACUGCUACCUCAUAGAGGGCAUGUAGACAGGAAAAAGUCCAUGAGGACACAAUGCUAACAGAAAGAACUACAGACAACUAAGGAAUAAUGAGAGAGAGAGAGAGAGAGAGAGAGAGAGAGAGAGAGAGAGAGAGAGAGAAAUAAUCUUCACCAAGAAAGAACACACCAAUUGGUUAUCCAGUACCAAAUAGAUAACCCUGAAAACACAUAUAAGUAAUAUACAGACUGAGCAGGUUAUAUUUAGAAAUGUAUAUUUGUAAACAUAUACAAGUGUAAUAAGAAUGACUGAAAAACAAAUAAAUUGAGAGAAGUCAAGGAGGUAUACAGAAAGGUGUAUAGGGAGAAAAUGGAAAAGACAAUGUAGCAAUUAUACUAAUAUCUCAAAAAUAAAAGAAAAUUAUAUCCAGGCAUUUUACUUCUUGGAUUCUGCCAUCAAGAGUUUCUUGGGCAGAUGGAGAAAUGACUGACUGUCUAAGAGCAGUUGCUACUCAGUUAUGAGGAGUAAAAUUUUAAACCCAGUACCCACAUGAGACGGUUUACAACCACCUGUACAUGCAGCUUUAAGGUAUCCCCGGGCUUCUUCUGGUCUCUACUCAACACACACACACACACACACACACACACACACACACACACACACACACACACAUACAUAUAUAUACAUGUAUAUAUAUAUACACACAUACAUACACACAAAGAGGUGCUUACAGUCAUAUAGAUAUAUAACAUACAUGCAGAUGUACUUAUACAUACACAUAAAUAAAAUUAAAAUUAAAUAAACACACUGUUUCUUAGCUGGAUGUGAUGGCACUUGCCUUUAAUUCCAACAUUUGGGAGGCAGAGACAGUCAAUCUUUGUGAUUCCAAGGCUAGCCUGGGUUAUACAGUGAUACCUUUUCAAGAAAGAAGAGGUUUUUUAAAAUAAGGUCUUAUCUGAUUGGGGGGAUGUGUCACAUAAAAUAAUUGGCUUUAUUACAAUUUUACUAAACUUGAUACUAAUUUUAGCAGUAGACUAUAGAUAUUUAGAUUCUUACAUAUGCAGUUAUAUUGUCUGCAAAUAAUGAGCCUAUUUUCUCAUUUUGAAUAGUUUUAUUUGUUGUUUUUGCUCCUUUGACUUAGUCCACUGAUUUUUCUGCACUAUGUUGACUUUUGUACAUGUUACCAGAAAAUGAAUAGGACUAGAAAGCAAAAAUCGGAGAUGGACAUUACUUAUCUGAAGUAUGUCUUAAUCUAAGAGCUUGGAUAUUUUCUACAUACUUGUGUGAAAACACUGUAACAGGUAGUGACAUCAGCUGUGGCCCACUUGUUCUCCAAAUUCCACUUUCUCAAGUGUCAUUACCACCAUGAGUAUUUGCUAAUGCUUUUCCAUCAUGUUAAAGGUAAUGCUCUAAAAUAAACCCAAAAAUAUUUAGGUCUGAUCAUUAUAAAAUUGAAUCAAAUUGUUGUGUCCUUUAUUUUAAUUCUAUAAACUUAUGUUAGUACACCUUACAAUAAAUAGCAUUAGUUUUUUGCUAAGCAUACAAUCUAUUGAAACAGUCUUUUCUGUAAUGAACUCUAGAUAGUGGCAUAUGUAUUUCAGUCUUUUUAAAAGUUCUUACCAUAUUUCAAUUUAUUUUAGAAACAGCUGAAAUAUAUUAAACAAAGAGUAAACUCAAACACAACCUGUCACUUGAAACAACUAUACAAAUGUGUAGAAUGAUUCUGAUAAAGAGUGAUUGGGUGGUCAAAAACUAUACAUGACUACCUGUACAACAAUAUUUGUGCAAUAUUCUGACUCCUCAUUUGGGUGAUUAAAGUAAAACUGUUUAUGUCACAGUGACAUAUUCCUGCUGUUUUUUUCUAUUUUAUUUUUUAGUUCAAGUCAGAAAAGUUAGUAAUUUGUCAUUCUAAAAUAAAAGAUUAGAAUAUUUAAUCAAAAUGAUUUGGCUGACAAUUCACAUGAUGAAAUACAUUUAAAUUAUACCAGUAAUUUUUAAUCUUUUUGAAGUUUAUCGAUUUGAAAUAUGAGGUGACUGUAUGCUGUCAAUGAUUUAUAUUUAGUUAUUAAAUUAUAAUGCACUAAUUUUAAAUAAAGAAUUCUAACAUAA